rnacentral:tRNA from 2 species
CAUGUGGUGGAAUUGGUAGACACGUUGGACUCAAAAUCCAAUGAAGCAAUUCGUGAGGGUUCGAGUCCCUCCAUGGGC